rnacentral:lncRNA from 1 species
ACCAUAUCCGGAAGCUACUAUUUUGCCGCAAAGUAUCUACAGAAGGAAGCUUCAGCAUCUUCAGGAGGAAAAGAACAAGGAAAUUGCAAGUCUCCAGAACACUAUCCGAGACCUAGAGCAGCGCCUCGCGGCCUCCAAAGACACCCGCCUCACUCGGAGGCGGUUUUGAGCAGGGCACUUAGUGUAUUAGCAACAACUUACCUAGUUUUCUUUAAGGCUCUAAAGAUGCACUUCUACUUUCAAUGUGAGCUGAACAAUAAAGACACACACUUUCCAGCUUUUUAAGUUGCAUUUAUUUUUGAUAAUCUGUACUGUAGCCAAUCAAUUCUAUUCUCCAUUCUUGCUUAAUUGUAUUAGCCAUAAAGGAGUUCAGGUUCAUAGGACUCAGUUUCUCUAUUAAACCGUCAUUGAUUAUGGAAAUACUGUCUUAAGCACUAUGCAGAUUAACACCAUACUUUUCUUCCAUUACAUCUUUCAAGACAGUCACUCACAACUCAGAAGACUGAUACAGCAUUAGAUGAAAAAAACAAGAUUCACAGAUAUAUGUAGUGAAACUCAAACUAGGAGUCUUAGAGAUAAAAAAGAUAAGUAGAUAUUUAAAAUGUAGUCUGUUAAAGAUUUAAUCGGUUUAAAGUAUAAGAUUAGAAAGACAAAGUUUCUAUUGUUUUGAAAGUUUUAAGUAAAGAAAAAAAACUGGAAAAUAUGUCUUUGUUGUUCUUUCUCCGUUCUUAAUUACGAGCUAUCCAACAGAAACCCCUAGGUCAUAGUUUAUGUUUCUGUUCUCAUCAAUGUAACUAGAACACUGGAGAAAGAAAAAGGAAGACAUAUUAACCAAUGGCCGCAAUCACUUUUCAGUUGCCCCACGGUACAAAUCUGAUUUGGAUGAAAUGGUUUGUGGCAUAAAAAUUUUAAAUUUUAGAAGCCAAUGUGGUAGAUUUCUCCAUGUUUGCACAAAUCCAAUUUCAACUACUUUUACUUCACUAAUUAAUUAAAUGGAUUGGAAACAUUCUAGAAAUGAAAUUGUGUCUUUAGAUGGAGUUGGGGAGAGUACGCUUUAUUUUAAAUAUUUAGUUCAAAUUUCAUUUUCACUUCUUGGUCUUAUUAUUUCAGCUUCAGUUGGGGCUGGCUUCUGUGGGGCUUACAUGCUGACUGUGUCAGGCAGCUGGAGGUGAUCUACAUUGACAGGAUUCAAUGACUUUCUCCUCCGCGAAAAGCCCCUGUCAGCUACACAAGGAUGGGAGGUUUUCGGCACACUGUCAAGUGAUUGCAGAUCCUGACUUCUCAAAUAUGAGGUGUCGGCAGUGGCAGCAGCAGCUACUGGUAGCUGCCCCAGACUCCUCAGAUAACUUACACAGGAGCUGGUUUAUGCAUCCCCUUCGUCAGAGCUUCCUCUGGGCAAGUGAAAGUUGCAAGCCUUCACUUGCCCCCAUGUCUCAGCUCUCUAAGUGACCCUGCCUGUGCUGGCCCUUGUGCUUAUGGUGGUGGUGGUGGUGGUGCAAGCCUGAAGGAGGAAGACUUGUCUCAACAUCUAAUGCCCCUGGUUGCUGAUUCUCU